UGGUGUAGUGGGUUUGGAUGAGUUGAAGUUGGCGGGCGUCGGUCGCGCAUGGACCCGGCGCCGCCACCCGAUCGAUAGACGGUUGGGUAGGUGACGUAACGUUCAAUCGGUGGGCGCCGAUUGGCCGGACCCGUUUUCAUCCCAUAAUUUAUUAAGUCCCCCGUAUGAAUGGAUAAACAGCGAACUGUGAUAUUUGGCCCCGCACUCUCGCGGACAAUGGCGAUGGUGUUUUGCGGUUCGACGAAGGCCAACACCGACGGUUUCAGAGUGGUCGAACUGGUGUGCAGUGUGCAAUAGCCCUUGAUCAUCCUACACCACCUCCACCACCAUCAACGACGAAGAGGAGCGGUGAACACAGUGAAGACGUGCGAAGAGGAUACACGUAUACAAAUACAGAGGGUACAGGGACGGACAAGUGGAGACGCACGCUAAAGAAGAUCCUCGCGCACCGACGUAGUCGACGAUGGUUUCUCUCCCGAUCAAAAGCUGCUGGUGGUGUCAUCGAGAACAAUAAUCGUGCAUACACGCAACAUCUGCAACAAUCCGUUUGCGCUCCUAGGUUUUAGUCCUACGUCCUUUUUCCCCGUUCUUCGAUUCUUCUUUCUGCAUUCUUUCGGUCUUCUUCAUUUUAUAUAUAUAUCUUCAUUCUCUAUCUCUUUCUGGCCCUUUAGUUCAAGUGCGUUCGCGAUGAUAACGAGUUGAUGAUAUUGGUGCGUGCAGUGCGGCGCGACGCGAAUGUACGUAUAUAUGUGUGCUGCGCGAGGUGUGCGAGCCGCCGCAAGCCAACUAGGAUCAAUCUGUGUGUGUUUAUCUGACAGCCACCCGACGGCGGAGGCGGCUGCUGCUGAGAUGGUGUGAUACGGACAUGAACCCCUACGGGUACGGGAACCUAGAGGGUCGCGCGUGAUAGUUACUAGUGUGGUACUACUACCACGACCAGAAACAACCCCCUAGGAGCGGAGAGAGAUCGUCAGUAGCAUAGAAUAGAGAGGUCGGGGGAGGCGGCGGCACCAUGGACGAAGGGCCGGACCUGUCGCACCUCACGGCCGAGGAGAGGGCCAUCAUCGAGUCGGUGAUGAUGAGACAGAAGCAAGAGGAGGAACGAGAACAGGAGAUCAUGAGGCGGAAGGCGGACGAGGUGCAAGUAUUGGAGGAUUCCAUAAGGGCGAGAAGCGAGCAGCACAAGAAGGCCGGUGUCGAACUGGACGCCACAUGUCACAUCUGCCUGAAGACGAAGUUUGCGGAUGGCGUCGGACAUUUGUGCAAUUACUGUUCCAUCAGGUGCUGCGCUCGAUGCGGCGGAAAGGUCACGCUGCGAUCUACAAAGGUGGUUUGGGUCUGCAUAUUGUGCAGAAAGAAACAGGAGCUUCUCAGCAAGACGGGGCAGUGGAUGGUGGGAACUGCCCCGAUGGAUACGGAGAUACCCACUCAUCAGAUCCAGCAGGCACCAUCGGACAAGAGGCCGAAACUGGAGAGAGCCCAUUCCGCCGCCGAGAAGGAGAACCAACCGCUCCAGAGGUCUGGAAGCACCCUGCGAAGACAGUACUCAGAGCAGGACCCAAAGUUGCCUUCCUGCGAACGCUACCAAACCGUUUACAACGAGGAUGAUCCCAGGUUCUACCAAGGAGAACUGGAGGGGCUCAUGCGCACCCAUCCCCACCUAGUGCCUAGGAUAUACACGGAUCAGGACCAGGAACCGAUGUCGAUGGACAUCCAACGGAUUUCGACGGCGUCGAGCGCCAACAAGAAACACAAACGCUCCGGUUCCGGAAAGAAGCACCAGCAGCCCCAACAACAACGAUCUUUCUCGUCCUCUGAAGAGGACCUGAAAUCAACGCCAGAGUACGGAAGCGACGAGCGCGACAGCGAAAAAGGUGGUGGUGAGUGGAUGUACAUUGUGGCGCCGCGUCCGCUGCAGGACGUGACGGCGGACAACCGCGGCUUCACCGAGAGGAGAAAGAAGACGGUCAGGUUCGAUCAUCAGGCCUGGGACCGGCAGGGAUCUCAGGAUUCGCACAGGGACUCCGGUAUUGAUACAUCGUCCACAUUCACGUCCAGUGAAGACUCCACCAGAGGCGACGCGCCCAAGCAUCCGUUGUCAUGGCAAGUGUCAACGGAUGGCACUCGGAUGAUUGGCCACAUGAUUUUGAGACGGGGGGCGGCGGGCCGUGACAAUACCGGAUCGGGGGCGGCGAUUCUCGGACUGAAGGUGGCCGGCGGUAGGAUCUUGGAUGGAGGCCUACGUGGCGCCAUCAUCGAGAAGGUGAAGAAGGGCAGCAUUGCCGACGUGGAGGGCCAGCUCAGACCCGGGGAUGAGGUCAUUGAGUGGAAUGGACGGCCGUUGCAAGGCAAAAGUUACCAGGAGGUAUCUGACAUCAUUGCGGAAAGUAAGCAGGAAGCGAACGUGGAGUUGAUAGUCAGUAGAAGUAUGGGAAGCAGGAGGGCCGCUCAGGCCACCUGGCGGCAGUCCGUGGCACAAAGAGGCCAGAGCCAGUGGCCUGCGGAUAUUGGAGAAGGAUACGAAAGGCCGCACGUCCUCGUGACUUCGCCUGGCAGUCCUGAGAGACCUAGACCCGCGCCGACGGUGGCGCCCAGCGUCGGAGGUCGAGUCCAGGUCAGGUUAGGUUUCGAACCUGCCACCUUGCAGCUGCUUGUGACGAUCGUCUGCGCUGCUGGUCUAACACCCAGAUCACCACAUCAACCUCGCAAUCCUUAUUGCAAACUCUUCCUCUUACCAGACAGAUCGGAAAAGAGCAAACGCAGAACAAGAACUUUAGCAGGGACGACGGAACCGAUGUGGAAUCAAACUUUCGUGUACUCUGGUCUGCGGAGGACCGAUUUGAGAUUGAGAGCUCUCGAGAUCACCGUCUGGGAUUACGUGAGGUACGGAGCGAACGACUUCCUGGGUGAGACCGUCAUCGAACUGUGGCCGCUGGACGAGCAGCCGACCUGGCGCACCCUUGGACCUCACGAGGACGUCGCCCUCACGCCAAGCGAACAUCUGUCACCGCCCAGCACAGGAUCGAGCGCUAGAUUUUCAGACUCGGACACCCCGUCGGAGUGCGAGAUCGACGGCAGCCGCGAACGACGAGGGGCGGACGGCGCGAGCGUCAGCAGCGUGGGCAGCUCUUCUAGUCCACCCAGAGACACGGAACGGAGGUCCAGGAGGGACCAAGAUCUCAUGCACCAGUCCUAUGUUAACCAUUCUGCACCCAUCAACAACAAUCAUCAUCACCAUCAGCAAUCUGGAUAUCGAAGGAGUAAUAUGGCAGGUCAAAGGUCGCAUUCGGCGGCGCCGUGCGAGUCGCCCAGCGUCCACCAUGUGUCCAGAUCGCGGUCGAAGUCGCCGCGACGCGCCGUCACCGACCACAGGUCAUUGUCACCACCGGACAUGAGACCCGAUUACCAACCGACUACCGGAACCGGAUACAAUACCUCCCGCUUCCAGUCCAGAUCGGCGACGGCCACACCGACCGGUUCACCGAAGAAGAGGCAGCUUCCCCAAGUGCCGCACGCUUUGGCGCGCGCCCUCCAGGAACGCGUCGCCCAGGAUCUGGAGGAGAGGUCGUCCAGGGGACACAGGAUGAGGUACGUCCACACGUAUAGAAGCACUGGUUCGAAUUGGGAAAGGAGGUAUAGUGGCUUAAGCGAUAGCGAUCUCACAACACACACGAGGACGAGGAGAUCGCUGUCGCCGGAACGGGACAGGGACAGGGAUCCACUGGGCCUGGUGGACUUUGACAGCGACAUGGAGUCGGUGGGGAGCGUCACCAGCAGCUCCUUCUCGACGCAAUCCGAACGGCCCAGAGGUUCAAGGACCAUCAGUUCCGAGUACGAUCGCUGCGCUGCGUACACUAGAAAGUCGUCGACGGCCAGGACGAGGACAAGGAACGACGACGUCGGAGUCGAACCCUUGGACUCGGAGGAUCGUCUUCACCAACACAAUAAUCACAGGAAUAGAAACCGAGAUGGUAGCGUUAAACGGGGGCAGUUCACUAGGAGUCUCUCGAAUAACGAAACGCCGGCGGAAGAAAAGACUGAUGGCAGUUUAAGUGAUACGGCUGUGGGUCAGAUCCAUGGACUUGAGGUGCCGCAAAAAGAAACGUCGAGGAAGGAAUCGAGCAGGGAUAGGGAAAGACAGGCCCAGUUCGUUGGGCUCAGCAAGAAGAGCAGUUCAACUAGCCAACUGUCGGCCACAGAGUCCGGACACGGUAGAAAACGGACGUCGCCGUCGAUUCAGAGGUCACAGGAGGUGGUACCUCAGUUUGCUCAGCAGAGACCAACAGAUUCCAGCCAGCGAGCGGCCAGCCUGAACUCGAUCUCCAGUUCAGAGGGAUCGUCAUGGUCGCCCUCGCUGCGGCUAGCCGACGGAGGACAACUGGCAGAGUUCAUCGAUGGAUUGGGACCCGGACAAUUGGUGGGGCGGCAAGUGCUGGGGGCGCCCGCCCUCGGCGACAUUCAGUUGUCUCUUUGCUACCAGAAGGGAUUCUUGGAGGUGGAGGUGAUCAGAGCGCGCGGAUUACAGGCCAGGACCGGCUCCAAGACGCUUCCUGCUCCGUACGUGAAGGUGUAUUUGGUGAACGGGAAGAAGUGCCUCGCAAAGGCGAAGACGACGACCGCGCGACGGACCUUAGACCCUUUAUAUCAGCAACAGUUAGCAUUUAGAGAACAAUUCCAAGGCUGUGUUCUUCAGGUGACCGUGUGGGGAGAUUACGGUCGCAUAGAAGGCAAAAAAGUGUUCAUGGGUGUGGCCCAAAUAAUGUUAGAUGAUCUAAAUUUAAGCAACAUCGUCAUAGGAUGGUACAAAUUAUUCGGAACCACGUCACUGGUUAGUGGUCCCCCUUCACUCGGCCUAUCGCGCAGAAGUUCUAUGGCUAGUUUAGAUUCCCUUAAGCUCUAAACACCAAACAUCAUAUAUAUAUAAUAUAUAUAUAUAAAUUAACAGUAACUGCAAUUCUUCAACAACUACAAUCCAACAACAACAGCAGCAGCAAAAGAAUACAAAAAUAUUCAAAAUUAGCAAAAUCAAGCAACUUAUCAACCAAUCAAAGAGCGGCACUUUGAUUGGUGCGCUUCCCUCGCCCCCACCACCAUCCACAGCUGCAUCACUCAUCAUCAGUGUUUCGUUUCAUCAAAAAUAAUAAUAAUAAUACUACUACUACUAACAAACGCAAGCCAUUUUCCUCGCCCCCCCUCUCUCUCUCUCUCUUCGUCUCGCCCCAUCUCUGGUUGGUCAACCAGCGGGCAAUUUUAUUCUUCAGCCAACGACCAAAAUCUCAUACGAACAGAAUAGUGAAUAUGGUUGAGGAAUGGAUUUUGGACCAGAAGGACAUGGGCAGAUCAAGGACAGUUUGCGACUCAAGAGAAUUGUGUAUUUACUUGUAUUAUAUUAUAUACUUAAAGACAGUUGAUUAGAUUUCUAAGAAGAAGCAAAAGAGCAACAACUCGAUGAAGAAGAUGACGAUUUAACAAAAUAAUGAAAUAACUAGGUUGUUUGAGGGAAAAAACAAAAAGCAAAAAAAAACAUACAUACAUACAAACAUAAUAUUGCAUGAACGCAUUUCGCUUGUACAUGAAAUUCAUAAAAUAUACUUAAGACUAUAUCCCCUACGAAAGGAGUAUGCGAUUUUUAUGUAUGAAUCGGAGUAUUAUUAUACGAGAUUACGCAAGGAAUCCCUGAAAAGUGAAAGGAAAAAAAGUCCAAAAAAAAAUAUAAAAUAAAAAAUAUUGUUAUUGAAAAUGAUAACGAUGAUAUAUCGUAUAUAGUAUUAUACUAUUAUUAUUAUUAUAUAAUGAAAAAUAUGGUGCAUAAUUUUAUUUUAUAGAUUUUAAGGUAGAUAAUUCAGAUGGAUGAAACAAACGAACAAACAGUACAGUGGACAUUCGGAAAUGAAUUUUGUAGUGAAAACGAAUAAAAUCGAGAAAACAAAACAUCUUUAUGUAAUAAAAUGACAAAACAAAACAAAAAAAAAAGACAUGGGAGAGACAGGCAACACACGCAUGAUGUCUAAAAUAAUUUAAUUAAAAAUAAACAAAAUGAAAGUAAAAAAAAAUAUAUAAAAAAAAUACACAGUUUAUCAACGCACACACAUUAGAAAACAGACAAAAUGAAAUCACAUUAUCAUAAACAAAACAGUUGAAA